AACGAACGCUGGCGGCAUGCCUAACACAUGCAAGUCGAACGAGACCUUCGGGUCUAGUGGCGCACGGGUGCGUAACGCGUGGGAACCUGCCCUUAGGUUCGGAAUACUCCCCGAAAGGGGUGCUAAUACCGGAUAAUGUCUUCGGACCAAAGAUUUAUCGCCUUUGGAUGGGCCCGCGUUGGAUUAGCUAGUUGGUAGGGUAAAAGCCUACCAAGGCGACGAUCCAUAGCUGGUCUGAGAGGAUGAUCAGCCACACUGGGACUGAGACACGGCCCAGACUCCUACGGGAGGCAGCAGUGGGGAAUAUUGGACAAUGGGCGAAAGGCUGAUCCAGCAAUGCCGCGUGAGUGAUGAAGGCCUUAGGGUUGUAAAGCUCUUUUACCCGGGAUGAUAAUGACAGUACCGGGAGAAUAAGCUCCGGCUAACUCCGUG
rnacentral:rRNA from 1 species